AGAGUUUGAUCAUGGCUCAGAUUGAACGCUGGCGGCAGGCCUAACACAUGCAAGUCGAGCGGUAGAGAGAAGCUUGCUUCUCUUGAGAGCGGCGGACGGGUGAGUAAUGCCUAGGAAUCUGCCUGGUAGUGGGGGAUAACGUCCGGAAACGGACGCUAAUACCGCAUACGUCCUACGGGGGAAAGCAGGGGACCUUCGGGCCUUGCGCUAUCAGAUGAGCCUAGGUCGGAUUAGCUAGUUGGUGGGGUAAUGGCUCACCAAGGCGACGAUCCGUAACUGGUCUGAGAGGAUGAUCAGUCACACUGGAACUGAGACACGGUCCAGACUCCUACGGGAGGCAGCAGUGGGGAAUAUUGGACAAUGGGCGAAAGCCUGAUCCAGCCAUGCCGCGUGUGUGAAGAAGGUCUUCGGAUUGUAAAGCACUUUAAGUUGGGAGGAAGGGCAGUAAAUUAAUACUUUGCUGUUUUGACGUUACCGACAGAAUAAGCACCGGCUAACUCUGUGCCAGCAGCCGCGGUAAUACAGAGGGUGCAAGCGUUAAUCGGAAUUACUGGGCGUAAAGCGCGCGUAGGUGGUUCGUUAAGUUGGAUGUGAAAUCCCCGGGCUCAACCUGGGAACUGCAUUCAAAACUGACGAGCUAGAGUAUGGUAGAGGGUGGUGGAAUUUCCUGUGUAGCGGUGAAAUGCGUAGAUAUAGGAAGGAACACCAGUGGCGAAGGCGACCACCUGGACUGAUACUGACACUGAGGUGCGAAAGCGUGGGGAGCAAACAGGAUUAGAUACCCCGGUAGU
rnacentral:rRNA from 1 species